rnacentral:rRNA from 1 species
AUACAGAGGGUGCGAGCGUUAAUCGGAAUUACUGGGCGUAAAGCGCGCGUAGGCGGUCUAUUAAGUCAGAUGUGAAAUCCCAGGGCUCAACCUUGGAACUGCAUCUGAUACUGGUAGACUAGAGUUUUGGAGAGGGAAGUAGAAUUUCAGGUGUAGCGGUGAAAUGCAUAGAGAUCUGUAGGAAUACCAGUGGCGAAGGCGACUUCCUGGCCAAAAACUGACGCUGAGGUGCGAAAGCGUGGGUAGCAAACGGGAUUAGAAACCCCAGUAGUCC